AGAUGAUAAAUGAACUUCUUCUUGGAGGAUGAACAGAUACUUGCCAGGUAGUCUGUGCGAUGAUGAAAGAAAGACCAGAGGAAAAGCAUUCUGGGCAGAGUAGAUCUCAUGGGAAAGGAAAUGAGAUGGUCAAGGGACACUGGCACUUUGAUUAGAACACAAUGUUUUACAGAAUAUUGAAUAGAUUGAUAAAGCUUAGUUAUUGGGAAAGGUCUCUCUGAAUCACUGGUCAAAGAAACCACAUGCCUUCUCAGACUGCAAGAC
rnacentral:lncRNA from 10 species